GGCAGUACAUGAAGUAAACUGAGCUGUUCUCCAGUAGCAACCCAGAAAGACUCUUGGAUUUUGCACCAUGUUCAUAAUUUUCGGUGCAGCAAGAUCAGCACAGUGAGUGGAUAUCCAUACAGUCUGCCUGCUUCACGUGGCGAUGUAGAGUGUGCUUGGCUUGGUUCAGAUACCAGAUUGAACAAAGAGAAGACCUUUCUACUGCAGGAAGAACCACGAGUGCAAGCUUGCAGUAACUGCACAUGUCCAUGGGGACAGAUCUCCUGCUCUGCGGCGUUAGAGGAAGGGCUCAUCUGACUUCCAGGAGCCCUGGCCAGAGCAUGCUCCUUGUACAGCCCUGUUGCAGCACGGCCUACCAUGGAGGGCAAACCUGCCCUGCGCUCACAGCCCAUCCCCAGGAGCUGGUUUCUCCAAGGCUGCUGCAGGGUGUAAGGAGCUGUUGUUGGGAAACUGCUGCACUCUGUGCCUGACCCAAAACUGGGCGUGCCAGGGGGAGACCUCUUGCUGACUCCUCCAAACUUCUCAUCAGUGUUCUCCCACUUGCCGGCGGUGGCAAUUCUGUUUUGCAAGCACUCCAGUCACCUUUGCUGCUUCUGACUUCAAUCUGGUUUUACAUGGCUGGAGAUUGUCCUAGUGCGAUGCAGAAGUCUCCCUAUAAAGGCUAACCCUUGCCCUCCUUGCCAAAGCAAACAUUCCUACAAAGCAGUGGAAUCACUCUCACAGUCAAUAAAAUUUUCUUCCAUAUCAUGCUACA